rnacentral:rRNA from 1 species
CCUACGGGAGACAGCAGUGGGGAAUAUUGCACAAUGGGGGAAACCCUGAUGCCGCGACGCCGCGUGAGUGAAGAAGUAUUUCGUUAUGUAAAGUUCUAUCAGCAGGGAAGAAAAUGACGGUAGCUGAGUAAGAAGCCCCGGCUAACUACGUGCCAGCAGCCGCGGUAAUACGUAGGGGGCAAGCGGUAUCCGGAUUUACUGGGUGUAAAGGGAGCGUAGACGGCAGUGCAAGUCUGGAGUGAAAGGCGGGGGCUCAACCCCCGGACUGCUCUGGAAACUGUACGGCUUGAGUGCAGGAGAGGUAAGUGGAAUUCCUAGUGUAGCGGUGAAAUGCGUAGAUAUUAGGAGGAACACCAGUGGCGAAGGCGGCUUACUGGACUGUAACUGACGUUGAGGCUCGAAAGCGUGGGGAGCAAACAGGAUUAGAUACCCUAGUAGUC